UACGUAGGGGGCGAGCGUUGUCCGGAUUUAUUGGGCGUAAAGAGCUCGUAGGCGGUGUGUCGCGUCGGCCGUGAAAACCUGCAGCUUAACUGUGGGCUUGCGGUCGAUACGGGCAUCACUGGAGUUCGGCAGGGGAGACUGGAAUUCCUGGUGUAGCGGUGAAAUGCGCAGAUAUCAGGAGGAACACCGGUGGCGAAGGCGGGUCUCUGGGCCGAUACUGACGCUGAGGCGCGAAAGCGUGGGGAGCAAACAGG
rnacentral:rRNA from 1 species